rnacentral:rRNA from 1 species
GGAAUUUUGGACAAUGGGCGCAAGCCUGAUCCAGCCAUGCCGCGUGAGUGAAGAAGGCCUUCGGGUUGUAAAGCUCUUUCGGCCGGGAAGAAAUCGUAUGGGUUAAUACCCUGUGCGGAUGACGGUACCGGCAUAAGAAGCACCGGCUAACUACGUGCCAGCAGCCGCGGUAAUACGUAGGGUGCGAGCGUUAAUCGGAAUUACUGGGCGUAAAGCGUGCGCAGGCGGUUUUGUAAGACAGGCGUGAAAUCCCCGGGCUCAACCUGGGAACUGCGUUUGUGACUGCAAGGCUAGAGUACGGCAGAGGGGGGUGGAAUUCCACGUGUAGCAGUGAAAUGCGUAGAGAUGUGGAGGAACACCAAUGGCGAAGGCAGCCCCCUGGGUCGAUACUGACGCUCAUGCACGAAAGCGUGGGUAGCAAACAGGAUUAGAUACCCUGGUAGUCCACGCCCUAAACGAUGUCAACUAGGUGUUGGGUGGGUAAAACCAUUUAGUACCGGAGCUAACGCGUGAAGUUGACCGCCUGGGGAGUACGGCCGCAAGGUUAAAACUCAAAGGAAUUGACGGGGACCCGCACAAGCGGUGGAUGAUGUGGAUUAAUUCGAUGCAACGCGAAAAACCUUACCUACCCUUGACAUGUUCAGAAGCCUGAAGAGAUUUGGGUGUGCCCGAAAGGGAACUGGAACACAGGUGCUGCAUGGCUGUCGUCAGCUCGUGUCGUGAGAUGUUGGGUUAAGUCCCGCAACGAGCGCAACCCUUGUCGUUAAUUGCCAUCAUUUAGUUGGGCACUUUAACGAGACUGCCGGUGACAAACCGGAGGAAGGUGGGGAUGACGUCAAGUCCUCAUGGCCCUUAUGGGUAGGGCUUCACACGUCAUACAAUGGUCGGUACAGAGGGUUGCCAAGCCGCGAGGUGGAGCCAAUCCCAGAAAGCCGAUCGUAGUCCGGAUUGCAGGCUGCAACUCGCCUGCAUGAAGUCGGAAUCGCUAGUAAUCGCGGAUCAGCAUGUCGCGGUGAAUACGUUCCCGGGUCUUGUACACACCGCCCGUCACACCAUGGGAGCGGGUUCCGCCAGAAGUAGGUAGCCUAACCGCAAGGGGGGCGCUUACCACGGCGGGGUUCGUGACUGGGGUG